rnacentral:rRNA from 1 species
AUUGAACGCUGGCGGCAGGCCUAACACAUGCAAGUCGAGCGGAAGAAGGGAGCUUGCUUCUGGGUUCAGCGGCGGACGGGUGAGUAAUGCCUAGGAAUCUGCCUGGUAGUGGGGGAUAACGUCCGGAAACGGGCGCUAAUACCGCAUACGUCCUGCGGGAGAAAGUGGGGGAUCUUCGGACCUCACGCUAUCAGAUGAGCCUAGGUCGGAUUAGCUAGUUGGUGGGGUAAAGGCCUACCAAGGCGACGAUCCGUAACUGGUCUGAGAGGAUGAUCAGUCACACUGGAACUGAGACACGGUCCAGACUCCUACGGGAGGCAGCAGUGGGGAAUAUUGGACAAUGGGCGAAAGCCUGAUCCAGCCAUGCCGCGUGUGUGAAGAAGGUCUUCGGAUUGUAAAGCACUUUAAGUUGGGAGGAAGGGCAGUAAGUUAAUACCUUGCUGUUUUGACGUUACCAACAGAAUAAGCACCGGCUAACUUCGUG